ACACAGUAUGGCUGGCGACAUUAGCUAGCGCUCGCUCUACUCUCUCUAACGGGAAGGCAGCUGAGUACAAGAGACUGAACUGUGUCUGCCUCUAUUUCCAAAAGACUCACGUUCAACUUUUGCUCACACAAAGCUGGGAAAUUUUUAUUAGUCCUUUAAAAAAAAGUUAAUAUAAAAUUAUAGCAAAAAAAAAAAAAAAGGAACCUGAACUUUAGUAAAACAGCUGGAACAAUACGCAGCGGCAGCGGCAGCGGCAGGAGAAGAGGUUUAAUUUAGUUGAUUUUCUGUGGUUGUUGGUUGUUCACUAAUCUCACGGUGAUGGAAGCUGCACAUUUUUUCGAAGGGACCAAGAAGCUGCGGGAGGUUUGCUUCUCCCGGCAGCAGCCCGAUGCGAACCAAGGAUCUGGGGAUCUUCACACUAUCCCAAGAUCUGAGUGGGACAUACUUUUGAAGGAUGUGCAAUGUUCAAUCAUAAGUGUGACAAAAACUGAUAAGCAGGAAGCUUAUGUACUCAGUGAGAGUAGCAUGUUUGUCUCCAAGAGACGUUUCAUUCUGAAGACAUGUGGUACCGCCCUCUUGCUGAAAGCACUGGUUCCCCUGUUGAAACUUGCUAGGGAUUACAGUGGGUUUGACUCAAUUCAAAGCUUCUUUUAUUCUCAUAAGAAUUUCAUGAAGUCUUAUCACAAAGUGUACCCACACCAGAAUUUCCAGGAAGAAAUAGAGUUUCUUAAUCCAAUCUUCCCAAAUGGAGCAGCAUAUUGUAUGGAACGUAUGAAUUCUGUCUGUUGGUACUUACAUACUCUGGAUUUCCCAGAGAGUCGGGUAAUCAGUCGGCCAGAUCAAACCUUGGAAAUUCUGAUGAGUGAGCUUGACCUAGCAGUUAUGGACCAGUUCUACAUGAAAGAUGGUGUUAUUGCAAAGGAUGUCACUCGUGAGAGUGGAAUUCGUGACCUAAUACCGGCUUCUGUCAUUGAUGCCACAAUGUUCAAUCUUUGUGGGUAUUCAGUGAAUGGGAUGAAAUCGGAUGGAACUUAUCGGACUAUUCACAUCAACUCCAGAAACAGAAUUUUCUUAUGUUAGCUUUGAAACACACCUAAAUCAGACCUCGUAGGAAGACCUGGUCAGGAAAGUUGUAGAAGUCUUCAAGCCAGGAGAAUCUGUGACCACCUUGUUUGGUUAUCAGAGUUCUAAAUGUCGCACAGAGCUUGCUUCGCCCCAGAAGAUAGAAGGUUUUGAGCAUCUUGAUUGCCAGAGUGCUAUGUUCAAUGAUUACAAUUGUGUUUUUAUCAGUUUUGCUAAGAAGCAGCAACAACAUCAGAGUUGA